UCUUUCCUUAGGUUACCCACAGCCCAGAUAUCUGGGCCUAUGUCGCGUUCUCGGCAGCAGCAGCUGGACCUGGUGGUGAGGCGCAGAUAGAUACAGCGGGGACGUCUGUGGACCCAGAUCUGGUUCGGGAAACCAGGCAAAGCCUACGGUGAAACAGAGGUACAGAGAAGAAGACCCGAUUGAGGCAGAGGCAUUCCACUGGGGCUUCUUAGGACCGCAGCCUAGCCUGGGAGACGCAGAUUCAGGAGGCACUUGAAUGAUGUUCUGCUGCACUACAAAACGGAGGAAGGUUCUGAAGGCAAAACCUCCCAGGCCAUAGUUAGUUCCAUGAGUUGUGCGUCAAGAAUUCGGAUUGGAACUGCUCCAAAGCUUUCUCGUUCCGCGCCCUCCAGCGCUCAAGGUUCUGGUGGUGGCAGCAACCCAGUUCCAGGCGAGUCUGCCAAAACUCAUCAGAAAACAAAGGGGAGUGUGGUGCAUUUCCUGGGAUGCAGAUCAUGCUGAAAGAAAUAGGAACAGACGUUCCAUCCUAGGUGAAAGACACAGAAGGGAAAUGCCCAGUCCGGACCGGGAAUGGAAGGUCCUUGAUGAGGUGAAAAACAGAACAAAGCAAAGCAAUGGAAAUAGGGGAUGGCCAAGACUUCCCAAGAACAGAAGCACUGACCGGAGCCAAAAGGGGUUUAAGAAGGAAAAGCGAACCCAGUGCCAUGGAACGCGUGUACUGCAGAGGAGGAGGAGGAGAGAAUC